UUAAAUUCUUCUUUUUUUUGAAAUUUUUUUAUCCAAUUCGAAAUUACAACAUAAAUAGAAAUGAAAUGGCAAGAAUAGUCUACCUCUAUUCGAACAAGGAAUUCUCUAAAAUCAAAUUAAUAAUUUAAAAAAAAAAAAAGAAUAUCUUUGAAUUCAUAAGGGAUUUCUUUGCGUGUAUAUUGUACCAUUUGAUCACUUAGCUCCAAACGUCAUCUCGAGGGUUAUGCCACCAUGUCUUUAAACCUAUAUGCAAUAGAAAGAUUUCCGCAUUCAUGAUAUAUUUAAUUAUUUUAACAUAAUUUCAAUUCUUAAAAAAAGAGAAGGAAUAAUGAAUUCCACAAAAAAGUACUUUUUUUUCACGAGGUACGUACGGUUAUAAAUAAAUAUUUAUUUGUUAGUAAAUUGACCAUAGACCAAUUUCCCUUUAAUUUGGAAAUAUUCAAUAAACUCAUAAAUUAUGAGGUUCAUGUUACUCAUUCCAAAAGACGUGCCAGAUACAGGGCAUUCCAAUUUUAUUGACUAGAAUGACAGUUUAUAAGUCAAAAUUUGUACAAUAAUUAUUUUUAUCAAAUCACACAUCGCAAUAUACUUGACCUUCUAAUUCUUUAAGAGGUUUAUCUUAAAGGCUCGCGAUAUAACUAGGAAGACGUUUCAAAUACCACACAUGAAUUACUGGACAUGCUAGUUUAAUAUACCUCAUUUGAUAUCUACGUAUCAGAGAAUCAACAAAUUCUACUUCGCAUUGUUCACAAAAUUUUAGUUGGUCUUUUUUAUCUUUGAUUACUCGAUAAUUUCAAUAAGACAAAUCCCACUUUUGUUAGGUCCAAAAAUUAUUUCACAAAAUAAUCCAUCUUUUUUUAGGCUUAUUGGUUAUGUAAUGAAGAGUAUACCGUUUUAUUACCUCCCCAACUAUUUUUUCAUCAGGUAGGAUUAUUUUUGCCCUAUCACUUAUUUGUGCAGGAGAAACUAAUCCAAUUCGAAGGUGUUGAUGUUUAUAUUGAUCAAUAAUAGAAUAAAAUUUCUGAACCAGUCCAAUUAAACUUCAAACCUUUGAAUCUAGAAGUCUUUCUUAGAUACAAGAUAAUGAUUCAGUUCCAGAGCCAAAGAUCGUAGUUCUCAAACAAGCUAUCGAAAAGAUUCUAGAACAUCCACGAGUUUAGGUAUUGUUCCUCCCAUGAUUGUAGUCCUGAGUACUUCUUGAUGAGCUUUAAUAUGAUCAGAUUUAUAAAUCAACAUCUGUCGUAAAAUAUGAGCAACACUGAAUCCCUUGAGAGCCCAAACCUCUAUUCCGCCUACCUAUUGUCCUCUUUGUUUGGCCCUUCCUUUAAGGGUUGUUGUGUAACAAGUGCAUAAUUUCCAUUGGAACGUCGAUGUAUUAUAUCAUCAACUUGAUGAAUUAAUUUUAAGAUAUAAGGUUUUCCUAUUAUAACAACUUGUUCAAAAGGAUUCUCUAUUCUUCCAUCAAAUAAUUCGCUUUUUCCCAAAUACUCAAGUUCAAACAUCCAUGGAUUCGAUGUUUUUUUACUGGCCUCAUAUAAUUCAGAAAACACUAGUUUUAUGGAAGCCUAUUGUUCAUAUCUCUCAUCAAAAGGUGUUAAUCAAUAAUGUUUAUUUAACAUACUCCCAGCUAACCCCGAGUGAACAUUCAAAUAUUUGUCCUACAUUCAUUUGUGAGGGUACCUGAUGACUCUUCAUCAUAUGCAUAUUUUUCAUUAUUUUUAGUCUUAUUUAUCUUCAAUCAUUAGUUGUUAUUUGAUAUAUUUUUGUUGAUUCUAGUUCUUGGAUUUAAUGAAAUGUUUAUGUUCUUAUUUACUUGAUUAAGUAGAGAUUUUUCGUAGUUUUGUGAUGUUUCUUUGUUUUAGUCCAGUGCUGAAUUUUGGUGAGAAAUUAACAUGACUUAUGUAGAAUAUUUUAAUCAUAUAUGGAGUUGUAGAUAUUCAAUUGGAGUCGAACCAAGUGCCAGUGAAAGUUAAGAUCCUUAGCUACAACUUUCAUGAAGACAGAAAAACCAAAUUUGGACUCAAAAGUGGAACGAAAUGCAAUAAACGUCACACAAAAGAGGUUUUGCACCUGAAGCGCAAAAACCCGCGCUUGGGGUGCAUUUCUGCACCACUGACUCUGUCAAAGAGCGUUUGAAGUGCAAAUUCCGCGCAUGGGGCAAUUUUAUCUAGAAUCAUUCAUGAAUAUUUCUUAUAAUUCUUCUCUAAUCUCUAUCUUUUCUAUCUCUGUCAUGAGUAACUAAACCUUAUUUGGUAGGGAUGAGUGAAACAAGAUGAAGCCCUUAUUUUUCUAAUUUGAUUUCUAGUUAUAUGAAUGAGUUUAUUGAAUUAUUUUUCUCAUCUUUGUGCUUAAUGUUUUUUUGUAUUGCUUGAUCAACUUUAAAAUAUUCUACGAUUCGUAUUUUGAAACAUAAGUGAAAUUUACGAAUUCUUGUGAUGAGAAAUUCAUGAUAUUGUAGUCUAGAGAUAGAAGCAAGUUAUGAAACCAAUUAUAUUAGUUGCAAAUACAGUAAUUUAACUAGAGAAUUCUUGUACUCUAAGGCUGAAUUAUAAUCUUAAAUCCACUAAGGAAUUAGGGGUUACUUUGGAAUUAAAGGUUUUUGUCGCUAAGACAUUAGGACAAGAAUAAUAAAGAGAAUUUGGUAAUAAUUCAAUAAAGAAGUUUAGUAACUAGGAUCAAAUUAGGAACCAAGGUUGGAUUCAAAGUGAAACUCAUCUCUGAUAUUUUUCUUAUAAAAGUUCAAUUAUAUUACUCUUGUUAAUUUUAAAUAUUAUUUCAAUCAAUUCAUAAAUUUUUUGUUCAAUUUUAGUAAUUAAAUAUAGUUCAAUGGUAAAACACAAUCCUUGAGUUCGACACUUAGUACUAUCAAUUUAUUAUUACUUGCAACGACUCAGUACACAGGUUGAAACGUUAUCAUGCUUUUGCCAAAUGGAUUGAAGACCAUUUCAAAGGGUCUUCCAUCUUGCAAAUAAUGCAUAUCUUGUCUAGAAAAAAUCUUUGAAACGAUACAUUUAUUUUCGUGUCUCCAGACCACUUUAUCACCUACUUUAAUUUCACAUUUCGGCGAAAUAUAUAUAUAUGAAUCGUUUCUAGAUUAUAACUAGAACAUUUUUUUGUUGUUGAUCCAUCUGACAUCAAUAACUCGACUCCUACCACCUACAGGUAGUUUUAGAAAAGUUUCCUAUGAGGUAGAUUCCUAAAUCCCAAGUAUAGCUCAUAAUAUCUCUUUCAACUUUUGAGGAAUUAAUUUACCCAUUAAAAUAUCUCUUCUUUCUACCCAAGAUCCCAGGAUCGCAAUUCCAUUUUUGUCUAAAUUUUGUAGUAAAUGGGCUUCUAAAUGUGGAAUUUUAUUAGUGAUUUUUUCAGAACCGUGACUUGUGACAUGAGUCUGAAUUUCAUAUUUCCUUAUGUGAAAAGAUUUAUAAAUAUCUUCAUAGACAAGAUGCUCAUUAUUGAUUACAUCAUUUUCAGAAUUGUAACAUUCCCAUGGCAUAUAAGCUACUGAUAUGGUUUUUCCUAAUGUGAGUUCACUUCCAAUUAUAAUAUUAUCGUCGGCUAAAAAUUGCCCCUGUUUUACGCAUUUACCUUUCUUAACCUGGGAUUUUUUUAUGCAUGCAAGUAAUUUGGUUGGAACACUGAUAUAUAAUUAAUGGAAUGCUUAGAACAUUCACACUUCCAUAUAAAAUGAUCUUGACAAUAUCGUUAUAAAGGAUCUUUUCCUCUUGUUCGACUAUAGCGGCAACUUCUAAAUCUAACGCGAGGUGUUCCAAUCUAGUUCCAACAAUGCACUUUUCGAAUCGAGAUAGAGGAAUUGCUUGACAUUGCAUAUUUGAACUCAUUAAAGCUCGAUUCACAUCAUUAUGCUUGAUAAAAGGAAUGAAUGAAGCUCCAAUAGAAGAAUAUUGGAAGGGAAAAAUACUUUGAAGAAGAACUUGUUCUCAUGCAGUAGUAAGAGAUUCUUGACGGUAUCGAGCUAGAACAAUCUAUUCCUCCCGAAUACCUUGAUUUAGUGCUAAAAAAUUCUCUGUAGCUACUGUUGAAGGAGAAGAGAAUAUUGAGAGACCUGUUGAAUAACUCGUGUAUUUCAACUACACAUCGGAAGUUCUUUAUAUACACUUUGAGUGAUAAAUACACAUAAUGACAGGAAUACUUACAGACUUUCUAUUUAUUUACAUACUAAUAUUUUAUUUUCAACACUCUCUCUCAAGUUGGAGCAUAUAAAUCAAAUGCACCCAACUUGUUACAUAUAUAAUUAGUUCUAGGACCUCGCAAAGACUUUGUAAAAACAUCUGUCAACUAAUCACUAGAAUUGACAAAGCUAGUGAUGAUGUUGCCCGAUUCAAUCUUUUCUCUAACAAAAUGGCAGUCUAUGUCAAUAUGCUUGGUCAGCUCACGACAAAAUAAGAUUUGAGGCAAAGCACAAUGCAGCUUGGUAAUCACAUAUUUGUGUCAUUGGGCUGGCCUCUUCAAAUUGAAGUUCUUUUAGUAACUGUUUCAACCAAAUGAGCUCACAUGUUACUAGUGUCACAACUCUGUAUUCUUCCUUAGUGCUGGAUCUUGCAACAACAUUUUGUUUCUUACUCUUCCAAGAUAUUAAAUUUUCUUUGAAAAGUACACAAUAUCCAAAAGUGGACCGUCUAUCAAUGGGUGAGCCUACCCAAUCGGCAUUUGAGUAACCAACUAUCUGAGUAUGUCUUCUAUCUUCAUAAAUGAGAUAUUUUUCAGGUGCACUUUUGAUGUAUUUAAGAAUCCAGAUUACAACGUCCAUAUGUUCUUGGCAAUGAAAAUUUAAGAACUGGUUUACCACACUGACAGCGAAGAAAAUGUCAAGACGGGUGGAUCCAAUAAUGUCCUUAACAUAUUUUCUUUGUGAAAUUACAAGGCCGUCCUUGGAUUGGACUACCUCAAUACCCAAAAAAUAACGGAGUAUUCCUUGCUAAUCACUACCAUUAUGACAAUGUCAUCCACAUAAACAAUAAGAUAGAUGCACCAUUGGGAUAAGUGACGAUAAAAUACAGAGUGAUCGGCUUCACCAUGAAUCAUACCAAACUCAUGUACUACCAAACUGAAUAUGUCAACCAAGCUCUAGGAGACUGUUUAAGACCAUAAAUGGACCUAUGUAGCCAACAAACCAUGGUGGAAGACUCCCCUUGAGCAACAAAACCUGGUGGUUGCUCCAUAUAAACCUACUCUUGAUGGUCAUCGUGCAAAAAUGAAUUUCUAAAGUCAAGUUAAUGGAGAGACCAAUGUCGAAUAGCUACAAUAGAAAAACAGUCUGACAUAUGCUAUUUUGGCUACAGAUGAGAAGGUAUCACUAUAAUCCAACCCCAAAGUAUGAGUAUAUCCCUUGACCACUAAACGAGCCUUAAAUCGUUCAAUCUUACCUUAAGGGCUAACCUUCACCAUAUAGAGCCAACGUCAACCUACUAAAGACUACCCGUGAGGUAAAGGGACCAGUUCCCAACCGCUACUUUGUAGAGAACACAUUUCAUCAAACAAAUGAGGAGAUGGAUUACGUGUUGCGUGAAAAUCCUCACGAAGAGCCAUGGGAAUGGCAUGUUCAGGUGGUAGGGCCGAACUUGGUGGUGGCAUCGAAUGAGAGUCUGUCAUGGGAACAGGAACAGGCACAACGGAGGUGGGCGAAAACGAUAAUAUGUUUGUAGUGGUCAUGGAAUUUGCGAGGCAGACUCGACAAGUUCGAUAGGAAUAAGAGUGGGUGGAAUAUGGAUAACUACCAGGAGGUUCGAGAUUAAUAUCCUAAUAUGACUCAAUAGCUAUAUGAGCCAGUUCAAUAUAUGGUAUAAACUCGAAAAAGGUAGCAUCAGUUGAUGUAACAUAUCAGUGUAGUGCAGGAGAAUAACAAUGAAAGCCCUUUUGGGACCGAUGAUAUUUGAGAAAAACACACUUGGGACACUCAAGUCUUACCAAACUUCAAAAAUUGGUGCCUAGUUUGUCUAAGUUGUCCACGUUACAAUAUGAGUCGUGUCAGUUAGGGAAACACACUUGUAAUCAUUUUCCUAAUCGAGUCAAUAAAAGGGUUUUGUCCCAUUUUGCUUUAGUUUACUGUGAUGUUUGGGGUCCUUCUCGUACUAAGUCUAUUUUAACGUCUAAGUAUUAUUUUACUUUUGUUGAUGAUUACUCUUGUUGUACAUGGUUAUUUUUAAUGAAAAAUAAAUCUAACCUCUUUUCUAUUUUUGAGCAAUUUUAUCAAGAAAUUAAAACUCAAUUUCGUGUUUUCAUUCGUACUUUAAGAAGUGAUAAUGCUCGGGAUGAUUUGUCCCAUCAAUUUUAAAAUUUUAUAGCAUCUAAUGGUAUUCUUCACCAAACGCCAUAUCCUCAUGCAACCCAACAGAAUAGGGUAGCCGAACGCAAAAAUCAGUUUCUCAUUGAAACCAUUCGAACCUUAUUUUUCCAUGGUAAGGUUCCAUUCUAUUUUUGGAGGGAUGCAAUCUUAACGGCAUGCUACCUUAUCAAUUGUAUGUCGUUUUCUUUCAUUGAUGGCAAUAUUCCUCAUUCAGUCCUCUUUCCCCAUACCCUUCUUCACCCACUACCUCAUCAUGUCUUUGGGUCUAUGUGUUUUGUUCACAAUCUAUCUCCUAGUCUCAACAAAAUGUCAGCUCAAUCACUUAAUAACAUGUUGAAUGAGAAGAGAAUAUUGAGAUACAUGUUGAAUAACCCGUGUAUUUCAACUAUACAUUGAAAGUUCUUUAUAUAGACUAUGAAUGAUAAAUACACAUAAUAACAUAACAAGAAUAUUUACAUAUUAUCUAUUUAUUUAUAUAUUUUAUUUUCAACAGCUAUCAUAUAGUAUUCAUCUCUACGUACUUGGUGAUAAAUAAAGCAUUUGUAUUCUUUUUUAUCUGUUAGAAUUUUUAUAAAGUGGACUUUCUAUAGAUCCCCAAUUACCGAUCCUUGCGUCAAUUGCCAAUGAUCCAAUAAGUCCAACAUUGAUUCCUUCAAUGGUGUCAAUUGGACAAAUGUGUCCAUAGUGACUAGGACGAAUAUCUCGUAUUCAAAAGCUAGCAGUCCUCCCUUUCAAUCCUCCAAGACCCAAAUAAUUAACUUUCUCCCAUUAACUAUUUGCGUCAAUGGAUGGGUUCGAUCCAAAACUUGAGAUAAUGGGUGUAAUCCAAAAAAAAUUCAUAAGUGGAUAAGUGGUUGUUGAUGGAGUUGAAGUCACCAAAAUCCGAAGAGACGGUAUUAAUUUAUAUCUAAGUCCUCCACAUAUAGUUCCUCUAAUUAUAUUUUCUAAACGAAUGAGAGCAAUCCAAAUUGAUCUUGUAAGAGAUUUGUAUCGGAACGGAUACAUUUAUUUUUCAAAUGAUUCAUAUCAUCAAGUGUACCCAUUCCAAAUUUCAUUCCAAUCAAAUGAUCUGCCGCUAUCAAUAUAUCUCGCGGCAACAAAAAUAUAUUGUUUUGAGGUAUAUCAAGAUUUAGCCUUCAAUUCAUAUUUCGUCGACCAAUCCCUCCUAAUUCACACAUUUGUUCAGUUUUUUUUUUUUAAUUCCGUACAUAAAGAUUCAGGAAAUACAAGCAAAUUAUCGACAAAACUUCAAAAUGACAUUUUCUUUUUACCCUAUAUUUUUCCCUCCUUUUAAUUGAGAAAAGACAAGAAAAUUUCAGGAAGCAAACGUUCUCAAGAAUUUUGCUUAAAUUCGAACCCAUAGCUCAUGAUAAAACUAGAAUAGGUAUUUUCAGUUUUCUACUUACACAUGCCCAUAUCCUUGCUUUUCUAUCAAUCUCUAAUCUAUAAUUUCCCUUCCCAAUCUAAUAUUAUUGUGGCAGACCGAAAUUUCGUUAUGGUCCAAUUUUGACCAAUAAUAGAUACCGCCACUUCGUAAUAUUUGAUUGAUUACUAUUAUAUAUAUAUAUGUUCCUUAUGGUAAUUGGGCUCCAAUAUUGUCUUAUAAAUAUGUAGUUAAUAUAAUUAAAUAAAUAUAUAUGACCACAAAUAAUAUUAAAAUAAUAAUUAAAAAAAAUAUUUAAUAAAAUAUUCCAACCGGAAGCCAGAUAUCAUAUCUGCGAGAAAUAAAGGUAUUUGAAUAAAAAUGGUGCGGCUGCUUAAUGUUACGCGACGGAGAAGAGAAUGAAUAGUAUCUUGUGGGGAUUUUAAACAACAAAUGGCUUGAAAAAGGGUGCAUAAACCGAAACAAUCCAAAACUCAAUUCGAUGAGUUUUUGAAUAAUUUUAACACUAAAACCCUAUUUUAACCCUUUAAUAAUAAAAAUCUAAAUUCUAAAAUAAAUAUUCAAGAUAACUAUUUAUUUUAUAAUUAGUUAAAGUAAGAAAAAUAAUCGGAAGUAAUUAAAAUACUAUACACGCUUAUUAAUAAUUAAAGGCAUCCAAAAAUACCACAAUAAUUAUUAGAACAUAUAUUCACAUAAUAUUUGUUAAACAAUUCUAAAAUAUUUUAGAAAAAAUUCUUAUAAUAUCUAAACAUACAUAUAAAAAAAUCAUUCAAAAAUUCAUACAAUACACAUGAGUUAAUUUAAAAGCAAAUAUUAAAAUUGUUAACGAAAAACAUUUAAGAUACCAUUGUUAAAAGAAAAUUUUUAAGAAAAUUAAAAAAUAAAAAAUAUAUUUAUAAAACAUGAUAUAUUUACAAAGAAUAUGAAUAAUUCUUGGCCUAACUUUGGUACCUGCAUAAUUUUGUUGGCGAAGCAUGUUGCAGCUUUUUAAAUGAGGCAAUGGUAUCAGAUCUUUUAGGUUGUGUUUUUGUCCAAGUCUUAGUCCAUUAAAGCUUACAUGGAUUUGAGUGGGUGGCAUGUGGUCUACGUUUCAUACUUUUUGUAAUGGUGGUGUUCUGUAGUGUCGGUGUUUUCUGUUUUUAUUAGUGGCAUGUUUUUC
rnacentral:lncRNA from 1 species